AUGGGGUACAGACCUGUCUGGCCAAGCUGGUGGGGGGAUGUCUCAGCAACCCCCCAUUUAAAGUGCCAUUCUAGUCCAGGUGCUGAGGAGGGAGACCCGGAGGUGGCAGAGAAACACUCGUCACUGUCCCAUUUUGUUUGUGUAGGCCAUGAAGCCAAGAUAAUAAACACAGCGUGUCCGGGAGCCUCCCCCAGGACGGCUCUGGGAUUCCCCCAGGAAGAGCCCUCACCGCCAUUCCUUCCUGCUCCCCCCGUGGCCCUCACUCCUUCCUUCUGGAUGGGGGCCCACGGGGAUGAGGUGGGUAUAAAGGGCCGGGGGGAGAGUGCCCAGGCACAAGGCAUUGUGCCACUGGGACUGGGCGACAAGACUCACGGUCAGGAGCCUUGGGACUCACCAUCCAGAGGCCAUGCUGCUGGGGCUGACUCUCGGCCUCCUGUGGAGCGCCACCUGCUGGGCAGAGCAGAUGUAUGGGGCCGGAGGAGGCACAUAUUUCAGCACCUCCAGUGACUGUGAAAUCACCGGAGUCCGGGUGGCCGUGGAUCUCAUUGGCCUGGUGAAGAGCAUCCAGGGACCAGUG
rnacentral:lncRNA from 1 species